UGCAAUGAAGGUUAUACAUAAUGCUUAAUAGGUUUUUUGUGCUUAUUGUGAUUGUAUACUAUUGUACAACACUCUUAAACACAUCAAUAGUUGAAAACUGUGUCUUACACACCUGCUUCACAAACACAUAUAAUAGAAAGAUAGAGUUCACAUAUUUUAGAGAGAGAGAGAGAGAUAGAGAGAAAGAGAGAUGAGAGAUACGGUGGAAGGACCACCGUUUCUGGUGGUGAAACCGGCUGCGCACGACAGCGCCUCUCACUUUCGACGCAUAAACGACCGCCAUGGCGGCCGUGAGUUGUAGAGUUGUACUUCAGGUGAAGUCCGGCCAGUCUCCGACGAAGAUCCGGUGGUAGAAGGUUCAAGAGUAAUUAAUUGGAUAGAUUUGUGUAGGUGGUUGGGCUAGCCUCCGGUUGCAAGCAAGUCCUGGUAUGUUUCUGUUUCUUAAAAACCUAAUAAAUAUAAUAAUUUGGCCAACAUGUGAUAUUCUAUGAUUUAUCAGUUGUUCCCAGCCAACACUCAUGUUUUCCUUCUUUCUCCACUUGCAAACUCCCUGCACCCAUGGUGGUCUAACAGAUAGAUCUAAAGCGAAAUACGUUGGUCGGUUAACGGGUCAAAAAUGUUGGCUUUCUAAAGGGGUAAAUGAAGUUAUGUCUUGGAGUAAUAAAUUCUUGGUCAGUUUGUUGUUGGAUUAGUCUAUUCAUUUAGCAUAACUUCUAAUCUUUUAUGUCAUUCAAAUAAGUUGGAGAAUACUUUAAUACGAUUUGGAUUUUUGAUGAAGAAGAUAUGAUAAGAAAGUGACAAAUUAUGGUGACGUUCUUCACCUAUUUCUGCACAUAUGCCGUUUAUUUUUCCCUAUGUUUUCAGUUGUUAUAUUUCAUGUAGAUGGUCUAUUUGAAUCGUCUUCAAUUAUGGAGUUCGUUUAUGCACACAAACGUUGUACUGCCGAAUAACAAUAUAUGAAUGAUUUGAACCUAGCGUUUAUGCCUUA